rnacentral:rRNA from 1 species
UGGGGAAUCUUGGACAAUGGGCGAAAGCCUGAUCCAGCCAUGCCGCGUGAGUGACGAAGGUCUUCGGAUUGUAAAGCUCUUUUGGCGGGGACGAUAAUGACGGUACCCGCAGAAUAAGCCCCGGCUAACUUCGUGCCAGCAGCCGCGGUAAUACGAAGGGGGCUAGCGUUGUUCGGAAUUACUGGGCGUAAAGCGCACGUAGGCGGAUUUGUAAGUCAGGGGUGAAAUCCCGGGGCUCAACCUCGGAACUGCCCUUGAUACUGCAAAUCUCGAGUCCGAUAGAGGUGGGUGGAAUUCCUAGUGUAGAGGUGAAAUUCGUAGAUAUUAGGAAGAACACCAGUGGCGAAGGCGGCUCACUGGAUCGGUACUGACGCUGAGGUGCGAAAGCGUGGGGAGCAAACAGGAUUAGAUACCCAGGUAGUCCCUGAGCGGGCUGGCAAGGCGCAU